rnacentral:rRNA from 1 species
GACGAACGCUGGCGGCGUGCUUAACACAUGCAAGUCGAGCGGUAAGGCCCUUUCGGGGGUACACGAGCGGCGAACGGGUGAGUAACACGUGGGUGACCUGCCCUCAGCUCUGGGAUAAGCCCGGGAAACUGGGUCUAAUACCGGAUAUGACUUCAUGACGCAUGUUGUGGAGUGGAAAGCCUUGUGCGGCUGAGGAUGGGCCCGCGGCCUAUCAGCUUGUUGGUGGGGUGAGGCCUACCAAGGCGACGACGGGUAGCCGGCCUGAGAGGGCGACCGGCCACACUGGGACUGAGAUACGGCCCAGACUCCUACGGGAGGCAGCAGUGGGGAAUCUUGCGCAAUGGGCGAAAGCCUGACGCAGCGACGCCGCGUGA